UUCGCUUGGUUCUGAAUCCCCAUUUUUUACCCAGAUUGCCACCAUAAAAAUAGUCAAAAGUACUUAUUUUGUGCCCAAAAUAUGAAAAUUUGUAUUCUCUUGAACCUCUAAAUGACAGCUGGCAAUGCAUAUUGACCAUCUGCUGCAGUUUAAAGGCACCCAUGACAUUAUAUGCUAGGAUAUAUCAUUGGCCUCUGGCAAAUAAAUGGGCUCCGAGCGACAAGGCGCGUUUCAAGAUUUCACACUUUUAUUGGUGCUAAACAACAAGUUAUUGGAAGCUUAUUGAUUUCUUCUCUUCAAAGUAUCUUUGAUCUCUCAUUUGUACUAAUUUGUUUAUUGUCUUGGAUGAAAUUGGAUUUUCUUUGCUUUGAAAUUGACAUUUUUGGGGUGAUUUAAAAAAAAACACACAAAAAAGACAUUAUCAAAAUUGCUUAGAGUGAAAAUAUCUAACAAAUUCAUUCUUUCACCACCCCGCAUAAGCCCCACGUGCAUGUCCAUUUGGUUUGUUUUGGUAUUUUGUUGCAGAUAUUGAACUUAGCACAUUUAAACCUUAAAGGGACAUUUAAGCUUUAACAGGCCUAAAAUGGCCUUCUUUGGACCGAAAACACCUGCGUGUGAAAAUAUGAAAAAAAAUGGCCAAACGGACAGAUAAUCCAGCCAAACUUAUUACAUGUGUGCAAUAUGAAUAGGAAGAUAAGAAUAUGCAAGAAAAACACAUUUUAAUCAGAAGAUAUUUUUCCUUUAGGUUACAAUAUACUAAAUCUUUUUGGAGUGCAAUGCUAUACUCUCUAAAAACCUGAACAUCAUUUAUUUGAAGACACGGUUCUCUGUAGGGUCACUUGCCAUGACUUUAUUUUAGUAUAUUUCUGUGUGCAUGUGGCAGGGAAAACAUUGUUGUUUACUAGAAAUUCACUCUUUUAUCUGAAGAUUGGAGACUACAUAAGACUUUGACAGAUGGCGGGAAACCCUCAUGAACUGGAUAGAAGCCGGUAGAAGAAUGUCUGCGGCUAAGCCGCGGGCCACUUGAUAAGGGUUGUUGAUGGUAAAACAGGUAGAAGAAUGUCUGCGGCUAAGCCGCGGGCCACUUGAUAAGGGUUGUUGAUGGUAAAACAGGUAGAAGAAUGUCUGCGGCUAAGCCGCGGGCCACUUGAUAAGGGUUGUUGAUGGUAAAACAG